CCUACGGGGGGCUGCAGUGGGGAAUAUUGGGCAAUGGAGGAAACUCUGACCCAGCAACGCCGCGUGAAUGAUGAAGGUCUUCGGAUUGUAAAGUUCUUUUCUAAGGGACGAAGAAAGUGACGGUACCUUAGGAAUAAGCCUCGGCUAACUACGUGCCAGCAGCCGCGGUAAUACGUAGGAGGCGAGCGUUAUCCGGAUUGACUGGGCGUAAAGGGGGCGUAGGUGGUUAGGCAAGUCAGUAGCGAAACUCCAGGGCUCAACCUUGGAACUACUACUGAAACUGUUGGACUUGAGUGCAGGAGAGGCAACCGGAAUUCCUAGUGUAGCGGUGGAAUGCGUAGAUAUUAGGAGGAACACCAGUGGCGAAGGCGGGUUGCUGGACUGUAACUGACACUGAGGCACGAAAGCGUGGGGAGCAAACAGGAUUAGAUACCCGUGUAGUC
rnacentral:rRNA from 1 species